AGCAGUGUGAUAUCUCAAGAUUAAGCCAUGCAUGUCUAAGUACAAGCCGAACUAAGGUGAAACCGCGAAUGGCUCAUUAAAUCACACCUAAUCUACAGUACCGAUAAACAGUUACUUGGAUAACUGAGGUAAUUCUUGAGCUAAUACAUGCGAUGAAACCGCGACUCACGAAGCGGUGCUUUUAUUAGAUCAAAACCAGACGGCGCCCCGUCAAAAGGGUGCCGGCAAACCUUGGCGAUUCUGAAUAACUUUGGGCUGAUAGCAUUGCCUUGCGCAGGCUACAAGUUCUUCGAAGGUGUGCCCUAUCAACUUUCGACUGUGCCACAGCUGGGCACAGUGGUUUUGACGGGUAACGGGGAAUCAGGGUUCGAUUCCGGAGAGGGAGCAUUAAAAUCGGCUACCACACCCAAGGAAGGCAGCAGGCACGCAAAUUACCCAAUGGUCGCAGACCGAGGUAGUGACGAAAAAUAACAAUACCGGACUCUUCCGAGGCCCGGUAAUUGGAAUGAGACGACUUUAAAUCCGUUUACGAGGAUCUAUUGGAGGGCAAGUCUGGUGCCAGCAGCCGCGGUAAUUCCAGCUCCAAUAGCGUAUAUUAAUGUUGUUGUGGUUAAAAAGCUCGUAGUUGGAUCUCGGCGGGCAGCCGGGCGGUCUGCAUUGCUGCAGCCACUGCUCUGGUUUUUGUUUUGCCCGUGUUUGUUAUUUGCUGGUUUGCCAGGCCGGUGAUCUUGAUCGGUCGUCGGCCCUGGGUCAGCAGUUUUACUUUGAAAAAAUUAGGGUGCUCAAAGCAGGCUGUUGACAGCUUGAAUAUUCGUGCAUGGAAUAAUGGAAUAGGAGGCCGUUCCUAUUUUGUUGGUUUUCGGGAACCGACUUAAUGAUUAACGGGGACUGUCGGGGGCAUUUGUAUUCAGCCGCUAGAGGUGAAAUUCUUGGACCGGCUGAAGACAAACUACUGCGAAAGCAUUUGCCAAGGAUGUUUUCAUUAAUCAAGAACGAAAGUUAGAGGGUUCGAAGGCGAUUAGAUACCGCCCUAGUUCUAACCAUAAACGAUGCCAGCCAGCGAUCCGCCGGUUGUAAUUCUUACGACCCAGCGGGAGCUUCGGAACAAAGCUGUGGGUUCCAGGGGAGUAUGUGCAAGCUGAACUAAGUAUGACGAGGCACCACCAGGGUGGAGCCUUGUGCCUAU
rnacentral:rRNA from 1 species